rnacentral:rRNA from 1 species
UACAGAGACUGCAAGCGUUAUUCGGAUUCACUGGGCGUAAAGGGUGCGCAGGUGGCCGUGUGUGUGAGGCGUGAAAGCCCGGGGCUUAACCCCGGAAUUGCACCUCGAAACUACAUGGCUAGAGCAUUGGAGAGGGUAGCGGAAUUCCGGGUGUAGCGGUGAAAUGCGUAGAUAUCUGGAGGAAUACCGGUGGCGAAGGCGGCAUCCUGGACCGACGAGUUGAGCGCUGAACGGGCGAAAGCUAGGGGAGCAAAGCGGG